GACGAACGCUGGCGGCGUGCUUAACACAUGCAAGUCGAACGAUGAACUUGGAGCUUGCUCUGGGGGAUUAGUGGCGAACGGGUGAGUAGCACGUGAGUAACCUUCCCUGGACUCUGGGAUAACUUCGAGAAAUCGGAGCUAAUACCGGAUAGGACCUUGCACCGCAUGGUGUGGGGGGGCAAGUGUUUCGGUUGGGGAUGGACUCGCGGCCUAUAAGCUUGUUGGUGAGGAAAUGGCUCACCAAGGCGUCGACGGGUAGCCGGCCUGAGAGGGUGACCGGCCACACUGGGACUGAGACACGGCCCAGACUCCUACGGGAGGCAGCAGUGGGGAAUAUUGCACAAUGGGCGCAAGCCUGAUGCAGCAACGCCGCGUGCGGGAUGACGGCCUUCGGGUUGUAAACCGCUUUUAGUAGGGAAGAAGCCUUCGGGUGACGGUACCUGCAGAAAAAGGACCGGCUAACUACGUGCCAGCAGCCGCCGUAACAC
rnacentral:rRNA from 1 species